rnacentral:rRNA from 1 species
GAUGAACGCUGGCGGCGUGCCUAAUACAUGCAAGUCGAGCGAAUGGAUUAAGAGCUUGCUCUUAUGAAGUUAGCGGCGGACGGGUGAGUAACACGUGGGUAACCUGCCCAUAAGACUGGGAUAACUCCGGGAAACCGGGGCUAAUACCGGAUAACAUUUUGAACCGCAUGGUUCGAAAUUGAAAGGCGGCUUCGGCUGUCACUUAUGGAUGGACCCGCGUCGCAUUAGCUAGUUGGUGAGGUAACGGCUCACCAAGGCAACGAUGCGUAGCCGACCUGGGAGGGUGCUCGGCCACACUGGGACUGAGACACGGCCCAGACUCCUACGGGAGGCAGCAGUAGGGAAUCUUCCGCAAUGGACGAAAGUCUGACGGAGCAACGCCGCGUGAGUGAUGAAGGCUUUCGGGUCGUAGAACUCUGUUGUUAGGGAAGAACAAGUGCUAGUUGAAUAAGCUGGCACCUUGACGGUACCUAACCAGAAAGCCACGGCUAACUACGUGCCAGCCGCCGCUGUAA